GCUGGUGUAGUUCAGUGGAUAGAGCGUCUGCCUGCAGACCAAAGGGGCCCGGGUUCGAUUCCGGUCAAAAGCA
rnacentral:tRNA from 1 species